CCGGGUGAAGGGAAAGGGAGAUCUUUAGUGUUGUGCAAGGAAUGUUGGAUAGCUGUCCCUAGUCUCUGCAAAAGGAAGGUUUUGACGCUGUGUGGUGCUUCAGAGCAAAACAGUACAGUUUAUUGUCGCAACAUAAACCAUGUCAGUAGAAGACCGUAGUUGGAUGUACCAAGGCUGGAAGGACAAUGGUUGCCAUUCUCAGGAAUGGGUGCGAAAUACUAAUGCUUUUCUAGACCGUGCUUUUAGCAAUGUUCCUAACUCUGAAAAAUUUGGAGUAGUGUGUCCAUGUUUAGAUUGUGUCAAUAGAGUUAGACGGAGGAGACCUGUCAUAGGUGUGCAUUUGUGUAAAAGAGGAUUUAUGCCUGGGUAUAGACUGAACAUGGGGCGAGCACCCUGUUAGUGAUCCUACAUUAUUUUUUAGAUAGUAUAAUGUACUAGUAGUGUACAUGUGUGACCUGCUGCUCCCUUAUAUAAAUUGGUAUAUUCUCUGAGUUUAGUUAGUCCA